GCCGGGUGUGGUGUCGCGUGCCUGUAAUCCCAGCUACCCAGGAGGCUGAGGCAGGAGAAUCGCUGGAACCUGGGAUGACGAGGCUGCAGUGAGCUGAGAUCGCACCACUGCACUCUAGCCUGGGUGACAGAGCAAGACUCUGUCUCAG
rnacentral:SRP_RNA from 1 species